UUAUUAGCUUCCCUAAAGAUACUCUUUUGAAGUAUAAUCAGCCUCUAUCUCAAAGUUGCCAACAUUCUUAUAUUGCUUUCAUUUUCUUUACCAGCACACUUCAAAUUUCAGUUCCUUCAUUAGCUAGCCUCAGUUAGGUUAUGUACAUGUACAUUCUGAACAAUUCCUUCAAUCAGUGAGGUCUCUUCCUUUAAGAUCAGACUUUAUUUGAGAACUGUCUUUUUGCUAAAAUUGCCUUAUUUUCCUUCCAGGCAUGUUUCAAAUUGGCCUUUAAAUUGGAGUCUCAGUCAGAAUGCCUCCUUUAAUGUUCAGAUAACUUGCUAAAU